GCCCCCAUAGCUCAGUGGCAGAGCGCGUUCUUGGUAAGAACGAGGUCAUGAGUUCAAGUCUCAUUGGGGGCUCCA
rnacentral:tRNA from 1 species